rnacentral:lncRNA from 1 species
UCGGGUACCAUUGCUAGAUGAUUACUUCGAUUGAUACAAAAAUUUAUUUCUAUACUACUGACUUAAGUUCGAACUUAUGAGGUCACAUACAUUAGAGUUCAUGAUCCGAUCAGAUGGUUGAUCAACGAUAAAGAAUCGUUCUAGGGUUAAACGAUCAAUACGAUUGACAUUUAACCUAGUGCAAGUGUUAUAGGAGGAUCGAUUAGC